AGCACCGGCUAACUAUGCGCCAGCAGCCGCGGUAAUACGUAGGGUGCGAGCGUUAAUCGGAAUUACUGGGCGUAAAGCGUGCGCAGGCGGUUAUAUAAGACAGAUGUGAAAUCCCCGGGCUCAACCUGGGAACUGCAUUUGUGACUGUAUAGCUAGAGUGCGGCAGAGGGGGAUGGAAUUCCGCGUGUAGCAGUGAAAUGCGUAGAUAUGCGGAGGAACACCGAUGGCGAAGGCAAUCCUCUGGGCCUGCACUGACGCUCAUGCACGAAAGCGUGGGGAGCAAACAGGAUUAGAUACCCUGGUAGUCCACGCCCUAAACGAUGUCAACUGGUUGUUGGGUCUUCACUGACUCAGUAACGAAGCUAACGCGUGAAGUUGACCGCCUGGGGAGUACGGCCGCAAGGUUG
rnacentral:rRNA from 1 species